rnacentral:rRNA from 1 species
AGGUCUUGACAUCCAGUAAAAGCUGUAGAGAUACAGGGUGACUUCGGUCAUACUGAGACAGGUGGUGCAUGGUUGUCGUCAGCUCGUGUCGUGAGAUGUUGGGUUAAGUCCCGCAACGAGCGCAACCCUUAUCGUCCGUUACUAACAGGCAAAGCUGAGGACUCAGACGAGACCGCCGGGGACAACUCGGAGGAAGGUGGGGACGACGUCAAAUCAUCAUGCCCCUUACGACCUGGGCUACACACGUGCUACAAUGGGUACUGACAAAGAGAAGCGAGACCGCAAGGUGGAGCGAAACUCAUAAAAGUACUCUCAGUUCGGAUUGUGGGCUGCAACCCGCCCACAUGAAGUUGGAGUUGCUAGUAAUCGCGGAUCAGCAUGCCGCGGUGAAUACGUUCCCGGGCC